rnacentral:snoRNA from 1 species
CAUUCAUAAUUUUAAACAAGCAUGCAACCUCAGCCGAAAGAUGGUGAUUUGUUUGUAAUAAUCAGUGUAAUUCAGUUUAAUGGGUA